CCUACGGGAGGCAGCAGUGAGGAAUAUUGGUCAAUGGACGAGAGUCUGAACCAGCCAAGUAGCGUGAAGGAUGACUGCCCUAUGGGUUGUAAACUUCUUUUAUAUGGGAAUAAAAUGUUCCACGUGUGGGAUUUUGUAUGUACCCUAUGAAUAAGGAUCGGCUAACUCCGUGCCAGCAGCCGCGGUAAUACGGAGGAUCCGAGCGUUAUCCGGAUUUGUUGGGUUUAAAGGGAGCGUAGGUGGAUUGUUAAGUCGGUUGUGAAAGUUUGCGGCUCAACCGGAAAAUGGCAGAUGAAACUGGCAGUCUUGAGUACAGUAGAGGUGAGCGGAAUUCGUGGUGUAGCAGUGAAAUGCUUAGAUAUCACGAAGAACUCUGAUUGCGAAGGCAGUUCACUGGACUGCAACUGACACUGAGGCUCGAAAGUGAGGGUAUCAAACAGGAUUAGAUACCCUAGUAGUC
rnacentral:rRNA from 1 species